UCACCUGGUGCAUGGAACUGCAGUUUCCAGUCGACACGUCCAUCCUGGUUAGGGGUUUAUCCGUUUCGUCGAUGCCCCGGCCCAGAGUCCAACCUUUCCCUCUGGCUGAAUCGCAGUAACUUCCGCAAGUCGAGAACUUGGUUGGGGAGCUCACCUUGACUCAUUCAGAUUGUACCGCCCUGUGCAGUUUGACGGAGGAGGUUGAACACCAAAUGGGGGCUGGACGUGGCAAGGAAAUGUGGCAAGAAUGAAUUCUUGGUGAAAAACCUCAAGGUCCAUUGCCAGGUGUGGCCUAGUAGUAUCCACCAACACGAACUGAGCUAGCCAAAUCCUAAAGGACCAAAACGUAAGAUUG